rnacentral:RNase_P_RNA from 1 species
GUUAGGUAGAAAGUGGUUGCCCCGCACCUUUUAUUAAUUCAUAAGUUUUAAAACGGAUAUGUUUUAAGAUUGUUGAAUAUUUAAAGUGCGGGGAGGAAAGUCCGGGCUCCAGGGGCAAGCGCAAUGGGGUAACGCCCAUCCCCCGCACCUUUUUAUAAAUUCAAUAUAUUUUAAAGCAUAUUGUUUUAAGAUUAUUGAAUACUUAAAGUUGUGGGGAGGAUAUCUGCCACAGUAAUAGGCGGACCCGCCAAUAUCUUUGACGGGAGAGCUACAGAGACGAGUCCUCCGGCGUAUCGUCGGGGGGGUGAAACGAAGCAAUCUCUGCGCGGAGCAAAGCCAAAUAGGGAACGAGGGAUGCGCCCGUCCCGCUAAUAGUUUCGGGUAGGCUGCUUGAACCUGAGGGUAACCUCAGGGCUUAGAGAAAUAACCACUAACAGGCGGAUAAUCGUCUUGAAACAGAACCCGGCUUAUUUUGCCUAACUCCU